CACUGAUAUUCAUACAUGGUGAUGUGGAUAAAUAUAGAUAUAUACGUAUGGAAAAAAGGAAAGAAGAAGGGCACCGUAAUAUCAUUGCAGUCUUUUCUGGCAAAUGGUGAUGUACCCGUGGGAAUCACACAAGUAGCUAAAAAAGUAAGGAACCUUGAGGGUGAAGAGAGUGACGAUGGAGUUAAUACUAUGCCUCUAGUUUUUCAAUUACCAACUGCUCCUAGAGCAAAUCGUAUAUUUGAUGAUGAUUCCGUUCCACAUAGCCCUCCAUAUAUUGCAUAUUUAACCAACCUUCCUUUUGAUGCAAAGGAAGAAGAUUUACAAGAAUUUUUCGGAGCAACACCAAUAUUAUCUUUGCGUUUACCUCGUGAGGAAGGCGAAACAGGUCGAGUAAGAGGAUUUGGUUAUGUUGAGUUUGAGAAUAGAGAAGACUUAAUCAAUACUCUAAGUUUGCCAGACCCAUCUAUUAAAGGUAGAAGAAUUAGAAUAGAACUUUCAAAUGAGAGUGAUAACCAAGGUUUUAGGCAAAGAGGAAAUCGUCGUGGCUUUGAUGGUUUCAAUAACAGUGGAGAAAAUAGGGAAUCAACCAAUUGGCGUCGAGACAACAAUACUAAUAAUUCCAAUGAUGGUUAUGGUAAGCACUUUAGUCGAGAAAGAAAGUAUGAACCAGAUGAAAAUAAAUCUAAUAGCUCUUGGCGGUCUGAAAUCAGAACUAAUACAAACCAAAGUCUUGAGUCAAAAUUCAGAAAUAAAGAUGCCGAGAGAGGUAUUUCAAUAAAAUUUAGAAGAGAUGACCAAGAAUUUGAAAGACCUAAACUUAAUUUGAAGCCACGUACAUUACCUCUGCCAGUUGUGAACAAAGAUUUAGAUAGAGACAUAGAAAGCAUAGAUGAAAAUGAAAGAAAAUUCAAACAAGGUGGUGUUACGUCUCAAAAGGUCUUUGGUUCUGCAAAGCCAGUUGAUACAGCAACUCGUGAAUUGGAGAUAGAAGAAAGAAUGACCGAAGCUCGUCGUCAGCAGCAGUUAAAGCAAGAACUUGAUCAAGGUGAAAUCAACGAUAAGAUUGGAGAUAUUCAGCUGGAGAAAACUAAUAAGGAUUCUACGAAUUAUACUACAAGCUGGCGUAGAAAAGAUGUUGGGGUGCAAAAUCUGGAUAACAACAGUGAGGGACAGAGUAGAGGUGGACUGGAAAUACAGAAAAUCGAAAGUCGUCGUUUUAACAGGGAUGAAAAUCUUCAGAUCAGAAAUCGUGAGUACUUUGACCGGGAUAAAGGCUUAAUACGUUAGAUAAGAAAAUAAACCAGAUCUUUCUCAAAACCGAUAUCGUCACAAUUCGAAAAAUGGCAAAAGUUCAGGAGAAGCAAACUAUUCUUCUAAAAAUUAUUGAAAUUUUACCGACGUUCUUCUGGCAGACAUAUCUUCUUUAAAGAGCAAAUAUUGUUGAUUUUCCAAUCAAACAGAGAAAUUAAAAUACUACAAAAAUUUACCUAACCGUAACACCUCAAAAUUUUUGCGACAUCAAUUAACUAUAAUAAUAUCAAUAAAUAACAGAUUUGUUAUAAAUUGCAUUGCUUUGUAAAGAACACACAUUUCAUACUUUAUUAUUAUCACUGAUUUUAGCAAUCUAUCAACUUUUAACCCUUUCAGGACCGCACCUAAACCAACUACCAGACAUUUUUUUUUCUUGAUUUUCUGACUUAAAAUGCCUCAAUUAACUGCCAAGAAAAGUUUUAGCUCUCUAGCGUGAUGCGGUCAAAGGAUAUUGAAAGUUGCGUUUAUGGUAGCAUUGGAGUGAUAUAAAUACAUGCAAAGAAAAAAGUAUAUAUACAAGGGAUUUGUCCUUAUUUAUCAUAUAUAAUACAUAUAUGUUUGUUUUGUGUUUUAAGUGUGAUAAGAUAAAAAAUAGUUCUUGUUGUGCGUAUUGCAGCAUAGAUCAACACCACAUUUAAGCAUUUUGAGAGAUGUGUUCCGGUUUUACUAAGAAGACAUCGUCCUUUCUCUCCCCAAACUAUCCAAUGACCAUUUUCAUCAUAUCGCUUUGAGUUGAGGGGUUCUUCAACAACAUGACGGCGCUUCGAACUAGACGCUUCUGUGAAAGAAGGUGAAUCCGGAGUUGUGUCGGUUUCUACAUUUUGCAUAACGCUAGGGCGUCCCCUUUUCUUUUCAGUAGAACUGAAAAACACCGGCGUAACGCGUAAGAGCUCAGUCGUGAUAUCCAUCUAGAAUUUUAUAAGUGGAUUAACGAUUUUGAUAUGUCUCCCAUACAGUGAAAUAUUUUCAUGUACCCCUUAUUGGAGCGAUGUUUCACUUUAUGCAGCUCCAUAAGCAUGUCGGCAAGAUCAACUCCUCCCAUGUGUUUAUUAUAUUUGGAAACAAUAGCUGGUCUCGAUACUUCAAUAAUUUGCUUUUCUUUCCCUUUCCAACGCUUACACGUCUCGAUUGGUUCAUCUUCCACAAAUGUGGACAAUAACUGGAUUAUCCAUCCAGCGCACUGGCAAUGCCAAGAUUAGCUUCACAUUUUAUUUCAAGUAUUUUCAAACCUGACUCAAACUUUAGUUCACACUUUCUCAUUCGACUUUUUCGGACCGUGCCGAUGCAAAAUAUUCUCAUUUCUCUUAGAGUCACAAGAAGGCUUACUGACUUUUGUCAAAGUCAUAAAUAAUUCUUGACGAGCCUGCGCGAGUUAAUAUUUAAAUUAAGUAAAAAUGAGUCAAAAGAAUAUAUUUUGAGCUGCACCGAAAUGUGUACUCUUUAUUUAUACUCUUAAGACUACCUUAUUACAUGGUUCUUACUUCUAUUUAUACUAACUAGUAUGUUUACUUAUUACUAGUUGAUAGUUUGUUAAGGUACAGAUUAUAUUAUUUGUUUAGGUUUGUUUACAUAUACAAGGCCUGUCGCAAAAGAAACAGGACUGUCAAAAAAACAACAAAAAAUUAAUAUUUUUCAAAAGUUAUAUUUUUUUAUUCAAAGUAGUUUCCUUGUGCUUCGAUACUGCGUUUAGCCCGGUCAAUUAGCAUUUCAAAUUAGUGUUUAAGGUAAUUUUUCGGAAUGCUUUUGAGAAUAUCGGUCGUCGCUUUUUGGAUAGCUGAAAUGUCCUGAAACCUGUCCUGGGCAAAUGAAGUUUUCCAAAUAGGUAAAAAUCACAGGGUGCCAGAUCAGGUGAGUAGGGUGAGUGAUUAAUGGUUAAUAUGGAGUUUUUUGUCAAAAAAUCAGUGACAAGCGUCGACCGAUGACACGGCGCAUUAUCGUGCAACAGGCGCCAGGACCCUGCCUCACGGUAUUGUGGUCGAGCACGACGAAUGCGUGACAAAAGACGCUUCAUAACACCAAGGUAAAACACAGCAUUAAUCAUUCGGCCAGGUGGGACGAACUCUCGGUGUACAAUACCCUCGGAAUCGUAAAAACAAAUCAGCAUUGUCUUUAUUUUUGACUUCUGAAGACGACCGACUUCUGAUCGUCACAGAGGUCCUCACGACCUUCUUGAUAUCGCUUAAACCACUCAUGCACAUUACUACAGGAUAGGCACUGAUCACCAUAAACUUUUUUCAUCAUUUGAAAUGUUUCAGUAAACGUUUUCCCAAGUUUAAAACAAAAUUUAAUAUUUGCUCUUUGCAUUUUACGACCGAUGACCAAAAGCUGCUGUCACUUUUUGAUCGAUAACAUUGAUUGUAGUUAUCCAAUUGUCUUAAAAUUUUUACGAAAUGUCAACAAGAGAACAAACUUUUUCAUUCAUAUACCCACCAAUAGGUGGCACCACCAGAAACAGUUAUAUUUAAAAAGUUCUGUUUCUUUUGCGACAGACCUUGUAUAUUGCUUGCUUAGAUACAAUUGCUUUGUUUUAAGAUAAGGUUGUUGUGGUAUUCAAACUCAAUGUUGUUUUGAUACUUGUUUGUUUAGGAUUGUUUGUUGCAGUGAUAGUGCAUUUCAAUUGUUCCAACUCAAGGUUGUUUCUGCAUUCUGUUUACUGAGACAAAAGGUUGUUUUGAUGUUUGUUACUAUUAUAAGCAAUACAUUCCUUAACUCGCGCGAGUUAAUACUUUAACCUUUAACCACAACCUUAUCUUUCAGUAAACAUUAAAGAAAAAUCAUCAAAACAACUUUAUCUUAGAACAAUAGAAGCGCACUAUCAGUACAACAAACAAUAACAACCCAAAUAGUUAUUUACUAGUAAACAACUAGCAUCUCAAUAGUAUGAGCAGCGAUAAGCAUAGCCUAUAUAAGCAACUGGAACAAUAGCCUCGAGGUCACUUUAUCAUUAUCGACUGCCGAGUAACAAGUUCUGUAUACCACUUGUAAAGGUACAGUUUAAGUUUAAUAUAUUCAAUACUUAAGUACAUAUGUACAGUGGGGAGCAAAACCGUCAACAUGUUUACUGAAUGCGACUAAAGGUGCUUAUAACUUUUUUUCUACUAGCAGUAUCGGCAACAUUUAUACACCAAAAUAAAGAUAAUAAUUCAAUUUAUUAAAAAUAGAAAACAGAA